GAAACGCGAUAAACUCUGUGUUAGGAAGAACAAGUAUCAGAGAACUGCUGGUACCUUGACGGUACCUAACCAGAAAGCCACGGCUAACUACGUGCCAGCAGCCGCGGUAAUACGUAGGUGGCAAGCGUUGUCCGGAAUUAUUGGGCGUAAAGCGCGCGCAGGCGGUCCUUUAAGUCUGAUGUGAAAGCCCACGGCUCAACCGUGGAGGGUCAUUGGAAACUGGGGGACUUGAGUACAGAAGAGAAGAGUGGAAUUCCACGUGUAGCGGUGAAAUGCGUAGAGAUGUGGAGGAACACCAGUGGCGAAGGCAGACUCUUUGGUCUGUAACUUGACGCUUGAGGCGCGAAGGCGUGGGGAGCAAACAGGAUUAGAUACCCUGGUAGUCCCCCCUGUAACGAUAUGCUAAGUGUUA
rnacentral:rRNA from 1 species